CAAUCACUAAAUAAUGUGAUUUAU
rnacentral:piRNA from 1 species